CGAACUCUGGCGGCAUGCCUAACACAUGCAAGUCGAACGAGACCUUCUGGUCUAGUGGCGCACGGGUGCGUAACGCGUGGGAACCUGCCCUUAGGUUCGGAAUAACUCCCCGAAAGGGGUGCUAAUACCGGAUAAUGUCUUCGGACCAAAGAUUUAUCGCCUUUGGAUGGGCCCGCGUUGGAUUAGCUAGUUGGUAGGGUAAAAGCCUUCCAAGGCGACGAUCCAUAGCUGGUCUGAGAGGAUGAUCAUCCACACUGGGACUGAGACACGGCCCAGACUCCUACGGGAGGCAGCAGUGGGGAAUAUUGGACAAUGGGCGAAAGCCUGAUCCAGCAAUGCCGAGUGAAUGAUGAAGGCCUUAGGGUUGUAAAGCUCUUUUACCCGGGAUGAUAAUGACAGUAAUGGGAGAAUAAGCUCCGGCUAACCACGUG
rnacentral:rRNA from 1 species